rnacentral:lncRNA from 1 species
UGUUUUUGUACAUCCAAAGUUCCGGGAACCAGUUUUUUCUUAUAUGCCAUUAAAGGUAUGUUGCAAGACACCAUAAAAUGUUGCUUUGACAUGCAAUGAUUGCCACUUUAUUUAAACUUAAAAUGAAAGAGGUGUGCCUGCUUGAAAUGGAGGAAUUUAACAUAGAAAGCAAUGGGACCAUGAAUUAGUGGUGUACUUCCUU